rnacentral:rRNA from 1 species
CGGUAACACGUGAGCAACCUACCGAACUAUGGGGAGUAGCCGGCCUAACGGCCGAGUAAUACCGCAUACGCUUUCAGUGAGGCAUUUCAUUGAAAGGAAACCUACGGGACAGAUCGAGGGGCUCGCGGCCUAUCAGCUAGUUGGCGAGGUAACGGCUCACCAAGGCAACGACGGGUAGCUGGUCUGAGAGGAUGGCCAGCCACAUUGGGACUGAGAUACGGCCCAG